rnacentral:rRNA from 1 species
UACAUGGGGUGCAAACGUUGCUCGGAAUUAUUGGGCGUAAAGCGCGCGUAGGCGGUUGUCUAAGUCAGACGUGAAAUCCCCCGGCUUAACCUGGGAACUGCGUCUGAUACUGGAAAGCUUGAGGAUGGGAGAGGGAUGUAGAAUUCCAGGUGUAGCGGUGAAAUGCGUAGAUAUCUGGAGGAAUACCGGUGGCGAAGGCGGCAUCCUGGACCAUUACUGACGCUGAGGCGCGAAAGCUAGGGGAGCAAACGGG